GACGAACGCUGGCGGCGUGCUUAACACAUGCAAGUCGAACGGAAAGGCCCUGCUUGCAGGGUACUCGAGUGGCGAACGGGUGAGUAACAAGUGGGUGAACUGCCCAGCACUUAGGGAUAGGCCAGGGAAACUGGGUGUAAUACCGGCCAGGAGACAUAUUGAACGGGAUGGUUGGAAAGUUUUGUCGGUGUAGGAUGAGAUCGCGGGCUAACAGCUUGUUGGUGGGGUAAUGGCCUACCAAGGCGGCGACGGGUAGCGGGCCUGUGAGGGUGGACGGCCAUACAGGGUCCUACGUGAGGCAGAGAUAGGUACGCGAGGGAGCUGUGCGGAAUCUUGCCCAAGCGGCGCCGGCUGGGUGCAGCGAGGCCGCGUGGGGUAUGACGCUCUUCUUGUUGUAGACCCCUUUCGUAAGGGACUAUGCUCUUUGUGACGGUACCUAGACAAGAAGCCCCGGCUAACUACGUG
rnacentral:rRNA from 1 species